ACCUUAUGAAACUUGAAGAGGAAAGGACUUAUUUGGAGUACAAAUUAAAAUUCAUCAUCUAAGGAAGCUAGGGCACAACUCACUAUAGGAGCCUGAUGCAGACCUGUGAAGGGGAGCUGCAUACUGGCUUGCUUGUUCUGACUUGCAAACGUCUGGAGGUCAACUGACAAGUUUUCAGAAGACAUUCUUUCCUUCCUCCAAGUGGAUCCCAGGUACAUCUCACUUUUGUCUUCCUAUAAUGAAACUGAUCUCCGUGAACAACUGUCCAACAGAGAGCAAACCACCAUCCAGGAGCAGCUAUUCAGAAGUGGGUCUUUGAAGACAGAGUUUUACCUAUUUGCAGUAACUUCGACUUUAAAAAUGCAUUGAAAUGUGAUUCAGUAUGACAGUUGAUGGAAG